UUGGAACGCCAUUGACGAUGA
rnacentral:siRNA from 1 species